UACGUAGGCAGCGAGCGUUGUUCGGAGUUACUGGGCGUAAAGCGUGCGUAGGCGGUGUCUUAAGUUUGUUGUGAAAUCUCCCGGCUUAACCGGGAGGGUGCGGCGAAUACUGAGAUGCUGGAGUGCCGGAGAGGUAAGCGGAAUUCCUGGUGUAGCGGUGAAAUGCGUAGAUAUCAGGAGGAACACCUGUGGCGAAAGCGGCUCACUGGACCACAACUGACGCUGAGGCGCGAAAGCUAGGGGAGCAAACAGG
rnacentral:rRNA from 1 species